rnacentral:rRNA from 1 species
GAUGAACGCUAGCUGGAGGCCUAAUACAUGCAAGUCGAGCGGGAUUGGUAGCAAUACCAUGAGAGCGGCGCACGGGUGAGUAACGCGUACACGACCUACCUCUGACAGGGGGAUAGCCCUGGGAAACUGGGAUUAAUACCGCAUAUUAUUCUGAUUAAUAAAGGAUUGGAAUGAAAGUUCAGGCGGUCAGAGAUGGGUGUGCGUCUGAUUAGCUAGUUGGUGGGGUAACGGCCUACCAAGGCGAUGAUCAGUAGGGGGCGUGAGAGCGUGGUCCCCCACACGGGUACUGAGACACGGACCCGACUCCUACGGGAGGCAGCAGUAAGGAAUAUUGGACAAUGGCCGCAAGGCUGAUCCAGCCAUCCAGCGUGCAGGAAGAAGGCCCUAUGGGUUGUAAACUGCUUUUAUCAGGGAAGAAACCUCUGGAUUUACUCCGGAGCUGACGGUACCUGAAGAAUAAGCACCGGCUAACUCCGUGCCAGCCGCCGCAGUAAAAC